CUCCACCACCUCCCAGCUGACCUUCCAGGUGAGGGAUGCCAGGCUGACCCCUGGUCCUGGAGCUGUCCACCCUUGUGCCUCAUUCAAAUCCCAUCUGUCCUUCCAGGACCACCUCCUCCAGGAAGUCGACUCGCUGACCCCAAGCCACCUCUGACCUGCCCGUAGCAGGCCUCAGUGUUCCUCGAAAACCCCAGAGGGGCCUGUGGUCGUCCUGGAAAGCCAAGAGCUGCUGGACCAAACUUAUUUGAUCUCAAAAAGAGAAGAAAUGUGUAAUUUCCAGCCCUGAAAGGUUGUGGAGCACACCCACAAACACCUGUCAUAGCUGUAUGUUUUGGGUGUGAGUCCUGGCUCCAGAGUUGUGUGAUGUGGCCAGAUUACUUAUCUUCCCUGUGCCUCAGUCCCCCAUCUGGGAACAUGGAGAUAACAGCAAUGUCUACUUGAUAGAGAUGUUACAAGAAUUGAGUGUAAAAUAGAAGAGUUUCUGGUAUCGGAUCAAUGCUCAAUACGUGUCCUUGUUAUUACUAAUUAUUGUAUAACUAUGAUUCCUCUUGGACAAGCAGGGACAGAGGAUCUUAGGGGAAGGAAGCCAAGUAGGGGAGUCAGAGGCCACGUGAAUUCCCUCAAUGCAGAGGGUCCACCAUGUGCCUGCUCAAUGGGGAACUGACCCAUG
rnacentral:lncRNA from 1 species